ensembl:lncRNA
UUGACACUAAAGAGAGUGUUUGUAUGGUGUAUGUGAAAUUUAGUCUGAGUUUUCACUGGUUUCCAGUUCAUCAACAUUUUAGUUGAUUUCUUUAGACUCUAGGUAGCAUGGUAUGUGUCUUUUGCCUUUUUUUUUUGAUUUUCAGAGCUUUGCUUUUAGAGCUUAAUAUGUCAGUUCUUUUAUUUAAAGAGACUAUUUCAGAUGUGUUUAUAUAUUACUAAAGUGGCCCAUUACUUAGAGUUAGUUUGUGAUGUUGGAUGUAGUUGCACAAUUAUUUUCAUGAAUUAAAACCUGAGUUGGUUCAGUGUGCUUUUGAAACUUGGUAUUGAUCAGAAAUGUGCCUAUUGAAAUAUGGUAUUGGUGUUUGGGAUCUAAAAUUGUGUUCUUACUAAUGAUUUACACCAAGAGACUUUAAUUUUGAGUUGCACUUUUCAAAGUAAUUUUUUCUGUAAUGCACUUCAUGUGUGAUUGAAGCAUAGAAACGAAUCAAAAACAUACAAUAAAUUCAUAAUUUGCCAAGGUAUGAAAUGUUUGUCAUACAGAAUCCCAAAAUACUUCAAUAUGUAUGGUACAACUAAAGAGUAGCAUUUGGGUGAAUAAAAGUAUGUGUGAAUAAAAUUGUGCAUUAAAAAUACCUAAAAGUACACUUGUGGUGAUUAAUUCUGUUUGGUCAUCUGGAUAAACAUAAACAUGUUAAUAUGUGAAUGCAUUGUGUUUUCAUUUAUAAAGGCAAGAUUUGGUUAUUUUGUAACCUCCAUGAAUCUCGGUAUUUCUCUAAAGGAUUUGCUGGCCAAUAAAUCAAUCCUUACAGUCUUUGAAGUCUGUAUAAUAUGGCAAUAAUAAUUUUUAAAAUCUUUAAAAACAAAUUACAAUAAUUAUACUUUAAUUUCCUUCAAUAAAAAGGAAAUUGAGUUAGACGAUGUAAAAGGUGUGUGGAUGUGAAAAUGCUGGCCCUCGUCACUAUCAAAGUUGCCCAUCCCUGCUAUAGAGCAUAUAGCCUAUGAGCACUAUAUUAAAAUCCCAGGACACCCCUAGUCCGAACAUUCACUGCUAUUUAUUACUUCACAUAGUCUGACAUGAAUAUGCCAUUCAUUCAUAAAGAGACAGCAGCGAUUUUACAAUGGGUUACAUUUGAGAGAUAGGCUUGUUGAGUUAGAAAAUGUAAGGUGAUAAGUCUGAUUAACAUGACACAUACACACACACACAGAGAGAGAGAGAGACAUGUGAACACUCAAAUAGAAGAAUUCUGUUGUUUCAGGUUUCUAGAUUCUAGGUUCAUGCUUAUUAUUUUCAUAUUAUACAUUUUGCAUUCUGCUCUUUUUCUAUAGAUUUCACAUAUUUUAGUUCAUACAAUAAUACAUUUAUUUCAAUCUCCUACUGAAAAAAAAAUAGAAACCAUCACAUAAUUUGUAAUGGUUUUACUGGUUAUAAUGAAAUUGUAUUGGUUUUAAUGGAAACCGUAUUGGUGCCCGUUGGUCUCUAC